UCACUGAAUGGACCAGUGUUAUUGAUCAGAAAAAGGUUUCCUUACUUAUUAAGUACUUUCUUUGUUCAACAGAUUGGUUAGUGAGCUUCUGUGCAGAAAAAGGGAAACACUGACCGAAGAAGUUGUCUUGUGAUGAAAUAGCACGAUUCAGUGACUGAUGAUGGCACGGAGAACUAAAAAGCUUGUAAAAGAUGUAUCCUGCUCAGUGCUUGAAUUUCAGUGAUUGAUUCUAAACUACUGAGUGCUUAACCCUGGCAGAAGAGCAGGACAAGUCCCAUGUGACAUUCAGAUAACAUCUGCAGCUUAUCUGGAAGUCUCACAAGAAAGAGAAGAAAAAACCCUAGCACGUUUCCUGUUCUGCAAAGACCAAAUGUACUCCCAAGAGAACCCAGCUUUGCUGGAAAGGUACUGCAAUUACAAGUGUCAAUUCACAUUCUCAGUGCACGUUUUCUUAAGCAGUUUUGCAA
rnacentral:lncRNA from 1 species